AUUGAACGCUGGCGGAAUGCUUUACACAUGCAAGUCGAACGGCAGCACGGGGCAACCUGGUGGCGAGUGGCGAACGGGUGAGUAAUACAUCGGAACGUGCCCAGUCGUGGGGGAUAACGUAGCGAAAGUUACGCUAAUACCGCAUACGAUCUAUGGAUGAAAGCGGGGGAUCGCAAGACCUCGCGCGAUUGGAGCGGCCGAUGUCAGAUUAGGUAGUUGGUGGGGUAAAGGCUCACCAAGCCAACGAUCUGUAGCUGGUCUGAGAGGACGACCAGCCACACUGGGACUGGGAAACGGCCCAGACUCCUACGGGAGGCAGCAGUGGGGAAUUUUGGACAAUGGGCGCAAGCCUGAUCCAGCAAUGCCGCGUGCAGGAAGAAGGCCUUCGGGUUGUAAACUGCUUUUGUACGGAACGAAAAGGCUCUGGUUAAUACCUGGGGCUCAUGACGGUACCGUAAGAAUAAGCACCGGCUAACUACGUGCCAGCAGCCGCCGUAAGAC
rnacentral:rRNA from 1 species